UAGGGAAUCUUCCACAAUGGGCGAAAGCCUGAUGGAGCAACGCCGCGUGUGUGAUGAAGGGUUUAGGCUCGUAAAACACUGUUGUAAGAGAAGAAUGACAUUGAGAGUAACUGUUCAAUGUGUGACGGUAUCUUACCAGAAAGGAACGGCUAAAUACGUGCCAG
rnacentral:rRNA from 1 species